AGACCGCUCCACGCCCUUCGGUCUGCCGGGCCCAACAAAGGAGGAACAAGCCGCCGGCCGGCGGUGCGGCAGUGUGGAGACCUGCCGUAAUCCUGUGCGGGUCUCGCUCCCGCACGGGGAGGUCCCUGCGCGGAGGCAAGGGGAUCGCGGCCCAUCACUAUGGCA
rnacentral:ncRNA from 1 species